AUACGGAAGGUCCGGGCGUUAUCCGGAUUUAUUGGGUUUAAAGGGAGCGCAGGCGGAGAUGCAAGCGUGACGUCAAAUUUCGGGGCUCAACCCCGUCUCGCGUCGCGAACUGCGUCCCUUGGUUGCGGGAAGGGGAGGCGGAACUCGUGGUGUAGCGGUGAAAUGCAUAGAUAUCACGAAGAACUCCGAUCGCGAAGGCAGCCUUCCGGCCCGUCAACGACGCUCAUGCUCGAAGGUGCGGGUAUCAAACAGGAUUAGAUACCCUGGUAGUCCGCACAGUAAACGAUGGACACCCGCGGUUUGGCCUGUAUGGCUGAGCCGCCAAGCGAAAGCGUUAAGUGUCCCACCUGGGGAGUACGCCGGCAACUGUGAAACUCAAAGGAAUUGGCGGGG
rnacentral:rRNA from 1 species